CCUACGGGGGGCUGCAGUGGGGAAUAUUGGACAAUGGGGGCAACCCUGAUCCAGCCAUGCCGCGUGUGUGAAGAAGGCCCUCGGGUUGUAAAGCACUUUCAGUGAGGAAGAACGCCUGGUGGUUAAUACCCAUCAGGAAAGACAUCACUCACAGAAGAAGCACCGGAUAACUCCGUGCCAGCAGCCGCGGUAAUACGGAGGGUGCGAGCGUUAAUCGGAAUUACUGGGCGUAAAGCGCGCGUAGGUGGCUUGAUAAGCCGGUUGUGAAAGCCCCGGGCUCAACCUGGGAACGGCAUCCGGAACUGUCAAGCUAGAGUGCAGGAGAGGAAGGUAGAAUUCCCGGUGUAGCGGUGAAAUGCGUAGAGAUCGGGAGGAAUACCAGUGGCGAAGGCGGCCUUCUGGACUGACACUGACACUGAGGUGCGAAAGCGUGGGUAGCAAACAGGAUUAGAUACCCUAGUAGUC
rnacentral:rRNA from 1 species